UACGUAGGGUGCGAGCGUUGUCCGGAAUUAUUGGGCGUAAAGAGCUCGUAGGCGGUGUGUCGCGUCGGCCGUGAAAACCUGGGGCUCAACUCUGGGCCUGCAGUCGAUACGGGCAGACUUGAGUUCGGCAGGGGAGACUGGAAUUCCUGGUGUAGCGGUGAAAUGCGCAGAUAUCAGGAGGAACACCGGUGGCGAAGGCGGGUCUCUGGGCAGUAACUGACGCUGAGGAGCGAAAGCGUGGGGAGCGAACAGG
rnacentral:rRNA from 1 species